rnacentral:lncRNA from 1 species
CUAUAAGAUGAAGUGAUUAUAUUUCCAAAAGUAUUUUCUAUAUCUCAAAAUUGGUCAAUACUUGCAAUUCAUAUUUUAAUCAAAUACUAAAGCAAAAAUAAUGAUGAGAUGCAAGGAUUACUGAUUUCAUUAUUAUUAUUAUUAUUUAUUUUUUAUUUAAAAUUACUUUUCAUAAGUAUGUUUUAAGUUUUAUUUUUUGACGUGUGUCUAGAACACCCAUUUGUAUGAAUCUAUUUGUUCCAUGGGUAUCUUGGCACAUCUAUGUCUACAUCCUCAUAUUUUCAUUUUGGGUACCCAAGCUUG